UUCAGAGUGUCAGAGAAGAGGUAAAAGUUCAAAGUCUUAACUGUGGUUCGGCACAGGAGUAAUCAAUCCAACCGAGCAUGCAGAACAAACAAAGGAGCAGGCAGAGCAAAAACCAGGAGACUGAACUGGGUCAAAAACACACACAGACUGUCACAAGAAGAAUGCCGGGCCACUGUGAACGUGAUAGAUGUGGCGCAGAACUGAGGCAAAACGCAGUUUAAAUACACAGGGGAGACAAUUAGACACAGGUGAAACACAUUAGGAUGGGGAAGGUAAUCACACAGGAGAGCAGGGAGGAGGUGGGCCUGAGACAAAAGACAAGGUAGUGUUUUCCAGAAUACAUGAAAUCUGCAUACAAGAAAAACCUACAGCUGCUGUUAGGUGCUGUUGACGUACUCUGGCACCGAGCUCACUCUGAGGAUUUGACGUGUGCAAACAAGCAGCUGCAGUAUGGAGCCCAUCUCUCAGACCAUGGAGGCAGCAGAUGCUCAUCUGCAGAGGCGUGGGUGGAGGUUUGUGACCAAACGGGGAGCUUCAUCACAGUUCGUGGGGAGCACCAUGAUGAUCAUGACCACUUAUGCCGUCACCACCCUGACUAUGAACCUGGGGAAAAAAAUACAGGAGCGAAGAUCGAGACCGAACGGCAACUAAAGAUGGCCUCAUCAGAGACCCGGACUCACUGCCUUCACCCUGUAACGAUGUCGGCAGCAACGCCCGGAAGAGAUCAGAAAUGGUUGGCCUCAACUUUGAUGCUUCAUUCAACUCAUCUCAACUUUACUUUGUGAAGCUGGGAGGUGGUCUUUCACCUUAACCUGAGGUCAUUACCAUAAAUGAAUGAUGACAAAUGGACAUGAAUACAUCACAUGCACUGCUGCCGUAUGACCACAGGGUGGAGAACUGGGACUACUUUAGGACCACCAGCCCGCUAGAGGCUGAAUGUGUCAGACAGUUCAGACAUUAAAAAACAAAGACAGUGGCAUUUUUUGAACCCGUUAAAUGCAUUUAAAGAACGAUGAUUAGAGCUAUGUCGAUGUUCUGUGACUAACAAGUAGAACUCUGAUAAUUUGUCCUUGUAUUCUGAGUUUCUUUCUUUUUUUUAAAAUCAUCAUAAAGUUGCCUUUUAAGUUUAAAACAAGCCUGUGUGACAGCGGAUUGUAAAAACUGUAAAAUAUCAGGUCGCUCGAGUGUUUCUCGUGAGACAGAAAAUUAUUGUAAUGCUG
ensembl:lncRNA